rnacentral:rRNA from 1 species
GUGGGGAAUAUUGCGCAAUGGGCGAAAGCCUGACGCAGCGACGCCGCGUGAGGGAUGAAGGUUUUCGGAUCGUAAACCUCUGUCAGAAGGGAAGAAACUACGUUGUGCUAAUCAGCAGCGUACUGACGGUACCUUCAAAGGAAGCACCGGCUAACUCCGUGCCAGCAGCCGCGGUAAUACGGAGGGUGCAAGCGUUAAUCGGAAUUACUGGGCGUAAAGCGCACGUAGGCUGUAGUGUAAGUCAGGGGUGAAAUCCCACGGCUCAACCGUGGAACUGCCUUUGAUACUGCACAACUUGAAUCCGGGAGAGGGUGGCGGAAUUCCAGGUGUAGGAGUGAAAUCCGUAGAUAUACGGAGGAACACCAGUGGCGAAGGCGGAUUACUGGACGAUAACUGACGCUGAGGCGCGAAAGCGUGGGGAGCAAACAGGAUUAGAAACCCUGGUAGUCC